UGGGGGCUCAACCCCCAGCCUGCAGUGGGUACGGGCAGACUAGAGUGCGGUAGGGGAGAUUGGAAUUCCUGGUGUAGCGGUGGAAUGCGCAGAUAUCAGGAGGAACACCGAUGGCGAAGGCAGAUCUCUGGGCCGAACUGACGCUGAGGAGCGAAAGGGUGGGGAGCAAACAGGCUUAGAUACCCUGGUAGUCCACCCCGUAAACGUUGGGAACUAGUUGUGGGGCCGUGACGCAGCUAACGCAUUAAGUUCCCCGCCUGGGGAGUACGGCCGCAAGGCUAAAACUCAAAGGAAUUGACGGGGACCCGCACAAGCGGCGGAGCAUGCGGAUUAAUUCGAUGCAACGCGAAGAACCUUACCAAGGCUUGACAUACAGGUGGUGCAUGGUUGUCGUCAGCUCGUGUCGUGAGAUGUUGGGUUAAGUCCCGCAACGAGCGCAACCCUCGUUCUAUGUUGCAACUCAUGGGAUACUGCCGGGGUCAACUCGGAGGAAGGUGGGGAUGACGUCAAAUCAUCAUGCCCUUAUGUCUUGGGCUUCACGCAUGCUACAAUGGCCGGUACAAAGGGCUGCAAUACCGUAAGGUGGAGCGAAUCCCAAAAAGCCGGUCCCAGUUCGGAUUGAGGUCUGCAACUCGACCUCAUGAAGU
rnacentral:rRNA from 1 species